GACGAACGCUGGCGGCGCGCCUAAUACAUGCAAGUCGAACGAGCGAGAGAGAGCUUGCUUUCUCGAGCGAGUGGCGAACGGGUGAGUAACGCGUGAGGAACCUGCCUCAAAGAGGGGGGACAACAGUUGGAAACGACUGCUAAUACCGCAUAAGCCCACAGCUCGGCAUCGAGCAGAGGGAAAAGGAGUGAUCCGCUUUGAGAUGGCCUCGCGUCCGAUUAGCUAGUUGGCGGGGUAACGGCCCACCAAGGCGACGAUCAGUAGCCGGACUGAGAGGUUGAACGGCCACAUUGGGACUGAGACACGGCCCAG
rnacentral:rRNA from 1 species